rnacentral:rRNA from 1 species
UACUACGGGAGGCAGCAGUAGGGAAUCUUCCGCAAUGGACGAAAGUCUGACGGAGCAACGCCGCGUGAGCGAAGAAGGUCUUCGGAUCGUAAAGCUCUGUUGUUAGGGAAGAACAAGUACCGUUCAAAUAGGGCGGUACCUUGACGGUACCUAACCAGAAAGCCACGGCUAACUACGUGCCAGCAGCCGCGGUAAUACGUAGGUGGCAAGCGUUAUCCGGAAUUAUUGGGCGUAAAGCGCGCGCAGGCGGUCCUUUAAGUCUGAUGUGAAAGCCCACGGCUCAACCGUGGAGGGUCAUUGGAAACUGGGGGACUUGAGUGCAGAAGAGGAGAGCGGAAUUCCACGUGUAGCGGUGAAAUGCGUAGAGAUGUGGAGGAACACCAGUGGCGAAGGCGGCUCUCUGGUCUGUAACUGACGCUGAGGCGCGAAAGCGUGGGGAGCGAACAGGAUUAGAUACCCUGGUAGUCCACGCCGUAAACGAUGAGUGCUAAGUGUUAGAGGGUUUCCGCCCUUUAGUGCUGCAGCAAACGCAUUAAACACU